GACAGAGGGUGCAAACGUUGCUCGGAAUUACUGGGCGUAAAGCGCGUGUAGGCGGUUCCGCAAGUCAGGUGCGAAAGCCCAGGGCUCAACCCUGGAAGUGCACUUGAUACUACGGAGCUUGAGUACUGAAGAGGAGAGCGGAAUUCCCGGUGUAGAGGUGAAAUUCGUAGAUAUCGAGAGGAACACCGGUGGCGAAGGCGGCCUUCUGGACAGUGACUGACGCUGAGACGCGAAAGCGUGGGGAGCAAACAGG
rnacentral:rRNA from 1 species